rnacentral:sRNA from 1 species
GGAGGCUGCUUGGCUUGGUUGCUGAACCAGGGCCCCAGGAGGCCGAAAUGGCCCCACACCUGCACCGUCCCACCUCUUUGUCCAGUCACCCCAGGGCCAGGUGAGGGCCCUGGCCACACGGCGUGCCUGUUCCUUCUUCCCUAUGCCCCGCUCAUGGGUCAGAGGGCCGGUGCUGGGGUCCAGACGGUGUCAACAGGGAUGGUCCCUGUCCUCCCCAGAGACAGAAGCCUGUGGCCCACGGAGGGUUUCUGGGCCCAGCCGAUCCUAGGGAGGGUCCCAUGGCCCUGCCCAUAGGUUCCUGGCCUCUCUCGGGGCCGUGGUGCCCUCACAGGUGGUGUCAGGAGGACGGGAAAGGCUGCUUGUCCCAGGGGCUCAUGUGGAGACCACCCCCUGCACGCAGCUGGGGCGCUCCUGCCUGUGUCCUCAGAAGCACUCGGCUUAGCUUUGCCCAUGUGCCUGGGCUGUGGGUGGCAGAGCCCGGCCAGCAUCCUCCGAUCUCCAAGGGUGCAUCUCUACUGGAGGCACCUCCUGGGCCUCUUGCUCCCCGCUUCCCAGAUCAUUAGGAUAUUUGGGGUCCAGAAGGGCCUCCCAGCCAUCCUGGGCCUUGUCCUCCGGGGCCACCAGUCCAGCCAGUGACAACCACAGCAUCCCCGGCCUGGAACGAGGCUGCCCCCAGCACGUUCCUCGUACUCCUGUCCAGGGACAGGAGGGGCUGCCCCUGCCACCGAGUCCCCUUCUCCAGGACCUGGGGCCUGUGGGUGUGAGGCAGGUGUUCUUGGAAGGGGUCACUCUCCAGGCACCCGGCGGCCAAGGCUUGUGGCUGGAGCAGCUCCCGCUGCUGGGUCGGCGUCGGGCCCCGUGUGGCCGGAGAGGAGCUGAAGGGUCACUUAGCUUCGGGCUGGGGCGAGGACAGGAGACACCCCAGAGAGGUAUGCCAGGCCUCCUUCCUGCGCCCCACUCUCGGCAGAAGUAGAGGUCACAGGCUGUGCUGAGGCCCCAUGGUGCUGCCCCCAUGAUGCCAGGGUGAGGCUGGCGUUGGAAGCAGGUGUCUGACCUGCAUGGUGUCACCGUGGCCACAUCAGAGCUCCAGCCCCAGAGCCGCCCACCCUCGGUCCUUGGCUGUGGUUUCCCUGGGCUGGAGGAGCCUGCCGUUGUGUUGGCCACACGACCACAGGACCUGCCACCCCCGACGUGGGCUCUGCCUGGGCCCCCACUGGACAGGGACCCCUUGGAGCUCCUCUGGCCACCAAGUCCUCGCCCAUUCCAGAAUCGGCCUUCUGGAGCCUCUUGCUGUCCCUGAUGCGGGCUGGGCCUUGCCAAGGGCUUUUUUUCCUGCGCUGGGAACAGGGUGGAUUUGCUGGGCUCACUCCCCUUAGAGACGCUGCAGGUGCGGUGGGUUAGGCCCAAGGGCGUUAAGAGAGGAGGCUGGGGUGGGGCUGGGGCCUGGCAGGGGGUCUGGCAGCCCUGGGCCUCCCACCUCCUGUCAGGACCAAAAAAGGCAACGCGCCCCUCCUGACCUGUACCCCUGAGUGAACCCAACCUUGCAACCCAGGAGUGUCAGGGCCUGAGGGGAGGGAGACCUGGCUCCUGGGCGCCGUGCCCGUAAGGAGGUGGCCACCUGCAGGGCAUUCCUGGCAGAGGCUUCAUCUGGCCAGGUAGGAGGCUGGGUGGCCGAGCCCCAAAUCUGGGUGUGUUCUCUGCCUGGCGGUGGGUCCUGCCCCAGGCACCUUCUCCUCUGGACUGGCUGGGCAGGGACAAUGGGCCUGGCUGCGAGGAGGGGGCCUGGGCUGCCUUCUGCAUUGCCUGCAGCCCCUGCCUGCUGAGGGAUAGGGGAGUGGGCAGGCAGUGAGAGACACUGACAGCUGUCCCGAGGGUACAGGGCCCUGUCUGGGUGGCCGGGCCCAUAUCUCGGGCCCACAGUGCGCCCCCCACCCUUGGACGGCGCCUUCUCCCUCCCCAGGUGCGUGCUGCCCAGCCAGGGAGCGUGGGGGAGUUCGGGAGGGCUGGCCUACACGCCCUGGUCCAGCUGUCCCAGGUGGGGUGCUGGGCUUCAGCCCUCAGCCCAGGGCCUAGGAAGCCAACUUGAUCCUCCCCACACAGCAGCCAGGUUCAAAUGCAGGUCCCGUAACGGAAGUGCUGCUGUGCAACCCAGAUUGGGGGGCAGGAGCCAGCAGGGCCCCCCACCCUCUUCUCGCACCACACUGGGGAGGCAGCAUUGGUUCCAGUUCCGGUUCCUGGGCUGCUCUCUCAACCCCGGCCUACAGCGGGGCCCGCUCUGUGCCUUCUGAUGCCACUCCCACCCCACGCCGAGUCCCAGAGGCUUUGGGAGCGGGUGAAGGCGGUGGGUGGCGGGUGGCAGGUGCAGGCGGUGGGUGGUGGGUGUGGCAGGUGGCGGGCCCCACCGCAGGUGUCAUCCCUGCGAAGCACCUGUCGCCAGCACUCAGAGCACUCAUGAGGUGCACAGUCCCCAUGUGGCCUCCUUAGUCUCCGUCCUGUGUCAUGGAAGAGGUAACUGAGGCACAGAAAACUCACCAGGCCAGGCUGGGAUGUGAGGUCCCUUGCUGCUCAGCCCUGGCAGUCAGCAACCCUCCAUCUUCCCAGCUGGGCGGCCCGUGGUGGGUUCGGCACCCAGGACCCUCCGGGGUCUUGGGCUGUGGCGAGUGUGCAGGCACCCACCCGGUGUCUCUCUCCCCCCAAGGCAUCUACAUCCUCAUCGCUGUGGGCGCUGUCAUGAUGUUCGUCGGCUUCCUGGGCUGCUACGGGGCCAUCCAGGAAUCCCAGUGCCUGCUGGGGACGUUCUUCACCUGCCUGGUCAUCCUGUUUGCCUGUGAGGUGGCCGCCGGCAUCUGGGGCUUUGUCAACAAGGACCAGGUGAGCCUGGGUGUGCAGGGACAGGGCGGGGUGGGUGACGGGGGCACCCUCCUCUCCUGUCGCGGGUGGGGGUUGGGCUGACUCAUGGCUUGUGGGAGCUCUUUGGGCUCCUCCUGGGUCCCACUUGCCAGGAGGAUCUCCAGGGGCUUUAUGGAGGAGGCAGCAUUGGGGCUGAGCACAAGGCCAGCCUCCCGUGUCCCAGCACUCCCGGGGCAGCUGAGAGUGCAGAGUCCUUGUCCUCUGGGGUCUGGCCUCGAAGCCACCCUGCCCAGGGAGAGCCUGGGAAAAGUGCGUCCGCCUGGGGCGGGGCGGGGUGGGGGCAAGGAGGGGGAGGUUCCCCCUGUGCAUGUGACCGCACCCCUCCCCCAGAUCGCCAAGGACGUGAAGCAGUUCUAUGACCAGGCCCUACAGCAGGCCGUGGUGGAUGAUGACGCCAACAACGCCAAGGCCGUGGUGAAGACCUUCCACGAGACGGUGCGGCCCCGGGGGGCGAGGGCGGGGAGCAGGGCCCCGGGAACCCGGCGGGGUGUGUCUCGUCCUGGAUGAAUCCUGCCUCCGCCCAGACCUCAGGAGCAGGAGGUGCCCUUGGGACCUCCAGGACCCCUGGGCUCAACUGGUCCUCGGGUGGGAACCUAGUGGGCCAGGCUGGCCCAGGGUGCAGAAAGCUCUGAGCAGCGCAGCUGAGGAGGAAGGCUGGCCCCUGGAUGCGUUCUGCAGUGGGGAGCGCUGUGUACCCCUGGCCACCUCCCCAUGGGCACAUCCAGGGCUGACCUUGCACCCCUGCUCUCUGCAGCUUGACUGCUGCGGCUCCAGCACACUGACUGCUUUGACCACCUCAGUGCUCAAGAACAAUUUGUGUCCCUCGGGCAGCAACAUCAUCAGCAACCUCUUCAAGGUGCGCGAGGCCGGCGGGGCCGCACCUGACCCCCCGCAUGUCCCGCCCCUGGGUGGGGUCCUAGGGGUGGGCAGGUCACACGGCAGCCCCACAGGGAGCGACCACACUGGGUGGCAUGGCCCCUGUCAGGGCUGGUCUGCUGGGAGGGUUGGGGUGGGACCGCAUCUGGCCCACGAGGAAGGCAGGCGCCCUGUGCUGCGCAUUCCAGGUGAAGAAGGUGGAGGCUCUGGGGGGUGGGAACUCACCUGCAUCCCCAGCUCCACAUGUGCACUCGUGGGUGUGGACGCCCCUGACAGCCUGUAGCUGGCAGGGCCUGCAGGCCGUAUAGUGCCCUGUGGAAGUUUCCUGCUGAGGCCUCAGUGGAAGUCGUCAUCAGUGAUGCUUUAGGGGUCUAGUGACACCAAUAACCGUGAUCUCAGUGGAAAAGGGCACAGUGUGUCCCAGGCAUUUCGCGUUUAUGUUAAAACGGGUGGAAGAUAGAAAGCCGGCAGAGGCCGGGCUGCUGCACCCGCCUGUUCCGAGGUGGGUAGGGGGUGGGGGGCUGUUCCCAGGAUUCCCCUCUACGCUUUCUGUGGUGACCACGGAUUACUGCGUGACAACGGGAAGCCGGGAGCCGAGGCCCGGUCCCUGACCACGCGUGCCUGGCCACCCCUGCAGGAGGACUGCCACCAGAAGAUCGAUGACCUCUUCUCCGGGAAGCUGUACCUCAUCGGCAUUGCUGCCAUCGUGGUCGCCGUGAUCAUGGUGAGCGGGCGGGGGCGGAGGGCCUGUUCUCUGGGCUGCCCCUUCCGCGGGGCCUUGUGCUGACUGCGCCCCCCACCACCCUCCUGCAGAUCUUCGAGAUGAUCCUGAGCAUGGUGCUGUGCUGUGGCAUCCGGAACAGCUCCGUGUACUGAGGCCCCGCAGCUCUGGCCACAGGGACCUCUGCAGUGCCCCCUAAGUGACCCGGACACUUCCGAGGGGGCCAUCACCGCCUGUGUAUAUAACGUUUCCGGUAUUACUCUGCUACAUGUAGCCUUUUUACUUUCGGGGUUUUGUUUUUGUUCUGAACUUUCCUGUUACCUUUUCAGGGCUGACGUCACAUGUAGGUGGCGUGUGUGAGUGGAGACGGGCCUGGGUCUUGGGGACUGGAGGGCGGGAGUCCUUCUGCCCCUGGGGUCCCAGGGUGCUCUGCCUGCUCAGCCAGGCCUCUCCUGGGAGCCACUCGCCCAGAGACUCAGCUUGGCCAACCUGGGGGGCUGUGUCCACCCAGCCCGCCCGUCCCGUGGGCUGCACAGCUCACCUUGUUCCCUCCUGCCCCGGUUCGAGAGCCGAGUCUGUGGGCACUCUCUGCCUUCAUGCACCUGUCCUUUCUAACACGUCACCUUCAACUGUAAUCACAACAUCCUGACUCCGUCAUUUAAUAAAGAAGGAACAUCAGGCAUGCU